GGAGAUGAGGACCCAGAGAUCAGGCCGCACUGCCGGGCACAGAGAGCGGGGCCCAGGACGGGCUGUCCCAACUGCAGCCUCGUCUUUGAUGGAGGCUGGAGGGCUGCCCCCCAUUCCCUCUCUCUGACCUUCUGCAAGUGAAGUUUUGGCCUUGUGCCGCGGCUCCUGAUCUAGCUGAGAAGUGACGGAUUGGGCCGGCUCCUCCUCUGUGGAUCGGCUGCUCCCCGGAUCCUGGCUGCUGUGACCAGGGUGGGCAGCACACACUGGUCAGUGUGGCUCAGCGCCGAGAGCCUGGACCCGGCCAAGGAACGGCUCGGGUCUGCAUCUCACUCUGCCUGAGUGGCUCCAGAGAGAGUGUCUACUCAUCCACUCCCUUCAAUCUGAGCUUUGAUUGUACUAUGGACCAAUCAAAUGUGGUAGAAAUGAUACCAUGGAUUGCCAGUUCUGCCUCCUUCCUGUUGGAACUCAGUUACCAUACUCUGAGGAAGCUCAAGCAGCCUCAUGGAGGUCCAUGUGGAGUCUUUGCAGAUCUUCUUCUGCUAUCCUGCUUCACACACAGGACCUGGGGUCACCAGGUGGUCCUCUGGCUUCACCAGCCCUUGACCCUGCUCCUCCUCCUCCUGGGAUCGCCCUGGUUUCCACUCUUCACCUGGAAAGCUCCGAUUCAUUUAUCAAGGCCUGACAUCACCUUCUCAGGGAAGUCUUCCUUGCUUGCUUAACUUGUAUAUUUGCAUUUUUAAAUUUCUAUUAUAUUUUUGAGUUUCUAAGUAUUUGUAUAACUUUUCAAAGUGCACACAGCUAGUCAAUUCCUGAGUAUUUGGACUCAGGUAGGAAUUGAAUUUGGACUUCCUGAUAACAAAGCCAAUGCACUUAACCACUGUAUCAUGUGACCACAAAGUCUGUGGCUCCUUUUUUGGGCUCCCAUAUCACUCCUGCUCUGCCACGGACCUCAUCAUACCUGAUUGUAAUGAUUCAUUUGUUGGUGCGAUUUCUAGAAGUCAGUGUAUGGAUGAAUCAACAGGUUAGAUGCUCAUGGGAUAAUAAUCAUGUUAAUUAAUAUGCCUGUUACUGGGCUAUCCUUUCUAUAUUUAUUAUUCAUUAUUGAUGAUGCAACUGUGAGAUGUGAUUGUGAUUAAUAUUCCCAUUUUGCAUUUGGGUCAACUAAGGCUCAGAGACUUGAAGCAACUUGUCUAGUCCUGCAGCUUGACGAGGCAGUACUGGGACUCAAACCCAGCUCCGCCUGGCUCCAGAACCCCCUCUUUGAACUGCGACAUCACAGCGCCUCACUGGAACACUCAAGAUCCUUUGGUGGUGCUGGACCACAGAGACAAGUGUCAUGGAGCUCCCGCCCUCAAGUAGCUCCCAGUCACGUGUAGAGACAGACAUCCCAACACGAAUAGAUACUCAUAACUUACAACGUAGCCAGGAGGAAGGGGUGAAUAAUCCAUCAGAGAGUGGGGAAGGAUUUCAUUGUAGAGGCGAUACAUGAACAGGGUUUUGAAGGUUAAAUAAGAGUCUUCCAGGAGACAAGGAGGUGGAAGGAGACCAGACAUAUGUAGUAGCUGAGAGAGAGAGAGAGAGAGGGAGAGGGAGAGAGAGAGACAGAUACUGGGUGGCAGAGAAACUGAGUAUUUGGAAAUGUCACCCUGUCCAUCCUCCUCCCAGCAGUCUCUCUGCUAGAUAGGCACACAAUCGCAGCUGCAGACAGCUGGCCGCGACGCCUGCUGGAGUUGUGCUUCUUCUCUCACACCUGUCUGUUAGAAAGGAGCAGGAGGGCUGUGAGACUCUGUGGGAUUCUUCUCAGUGCUGGGUAGGAGGGGAAACGUGGGGGCGGUGGCCCUGGGCCCUGGAAUCCAACACCUGCUCCCCAUCCCCAAGGUGCACAGCCUGUCUCCCAGCUUCCCUGGCUCAGGAGGACAGGCCUGGCUCUCCAGUGCCCCCAGCUCCCCUGACUAAGACCCCUAGGGCUGCCGUGCGGGCAGGGCCCUGAGGGAAGCUUCUGCAGGUGGAGAGUGAGUCUUCUGGGUGUCUUCCUGGACACUGAGGGAAUAAUAGAGUCCAGGGUCUGAUUGGCUCAGGGAGGAGUGCCCGGCUUAUCUCAGUCCCUGCAGCAGUAGAUACCGAGCGUCCCCUGCCUAGAGGCUGCUCACCUGACUCAGCCUGGCUCUGGGUGGGGAGCCAUAGGGGAUGGGGCGGGGAGGCUGGUAUCACUUGUGCUUCUCUGUACACAGGCUCUGAGAGCUCGGGGCCCUGAGCACCUCACCCAUGAGUCCAGAACCUUUUCUCACUGUGUAUCUAGCCAAAUGGCAGGUUCCUCAUUUGACGGAUUCUGUGCUGGGCUAAGGCCCUGACCUACAGGUUCUCCUUUGGGAGGGAGGCCUCUUCCCAAUGGCUCUUCCUAGUCCAGGUUCCCUACUGCAGUCGGGGUACCCGCUUCACUGAUGAAGGCCCCUCUCCCACUCCACUAAGAGGCUCCAUGUUCUGACCCAUCAUAUUGGACUCUGGGUGUGACCUUGGGUUAAACCCAAUUUAGCCACCUCUCCUUGGUUCUAUUAGCAGUUUGGAAUCCAGACUGUGCCCUGCUUAGCCACCUGUGACGCAGGGUCCAUCUCCCAUCCCAGCCUCUUUCUUAGUCUCAGAUAUAUGUGUCUAAGUACAGGUGCUGGUCAGGGAUCAAGCUGCAACAGCUGGCUGGACUUGUGUUGGGCGCACGCAUGUUCAUUAAUGCUGUCUCACGCUGCUGUGCACCGUGUGCCCAGUCUGACUUGGGUGUGUAUUUGUGAACAUGCCUAGGUCUACCGUGAACAUGCCUGUGUGCCUUGAGGGGGAUCAGCUUGCAUGUCUUCAAGAAAACAGAUGGCAUAUCUCCUCAUUCUGCAUGGAUUUUGUCCACCUAACUCUCAGAGGGCAGUCUUCCAGCUUAACGGUCACUCCCACCUAUGGCUGACAGGGUCCCCAAGACUUGGUCCACAAUUGCAGUCAGUUCAUCCCAAAGCUACUGGGUCCUUUGAGUCAUGUGCAUGCUUGGCCAGAGCUGGACCACCGCUCUCAGAGCAAGGACAACCAUGGUGGCCAUUGUGGGAACUGGGUAGUGCUGCUGAAUGUGUUUGGAUCCUCCUCCUCCCCUCUCUUGACAGUGACUCACAAGCUGCUCACUUCUGCAAGCAAACAAAAGGUCCUUUGCACGGUGGCAGUAAUGCGGGGCGAGGAAGGGACCACUGUGUCUCAUUUGCCAGGAGUCAGCCUUCAGGCUCGGGGCAGGCGUGUUCAGCUGCUCCACGAGCCCUGUCCUGAUGCGUGUCACCUUGAGGCAACCCUACGGUUCCGAAGGCUGGAAAACUCAAGGUGGAGACGUGGCAGGUCUGGCUGUCUGGUGGGCUGUGGUCUGAUUCAAGAUGGUGCCUGAGCGUCGUGCCCCCUGGAGAGAAGGAGCACUGUGCCCUCAUCUGGCAGGCAGAAGGCAAGAGGAACAAACUUAAGCCCUGUCAUGGGGCACCUGAUCUCAUUCACCAGAGUCAACACUCACAAUUUAGUCCCCUCUUGAAGCCCUGCCUCUUAAUACUGUCACAUUGGACAAUAAGUUUUGGCUUCUGAAAUUUGAAGGGGACCUGUUAAAAUCAGAGCACCUUCUCUCCACCUGAACGUGAAGCUGGUGGCUCCAUCUAAAGCUGGGCUUGGAGACUGGAGGCCUGGUGUCAGUUCUCAGGAUCUCUGGACAUUGUGCUGGUGACUCAAUGGAGCAGAAAUCUCUUGAGGUUUAAAACCUUUGUCAAGGGACUCAUAUGCUAUCCCAGAGCUCAGCUAUGCCCUGGGAAAUGCAGCGAGGAAGAGGGGGUGGGCUCUCUGAGCUCCUCAUCUGACUUGUGAAGAUGGGCCUGAAUCUGAGAAGCAUGGUGCAGGGGGUAGCUCAGUCUUGGACCAGCCCUCGUGUAGGUAUCUACUGUCAGGUCUGUGCUCAGCAUCUGCUCAGAGGGAGCAUCUCCAACAGGCCCCAACACUCACUCUCUUCUUUCUCCUCCUCCUUCUUUCUCUUCUUCAUUGAUUCUUCAGAGAGACAGAACCAAUUAAGUAUAUAAAACAAGGAAUUGGCUCAGAUUAUGAAGACCGAGAAAUCCCAAGACCCGUCGUCAAUAAGCUGCAGAGCUGAUGGUGUCAUUGCAGUCUGAGUCUGAAGUCAGGAGAAGAUACUGGUGUCCCAGCUGGAAGACAGGCAGAGAGAAUGGAUUCUCCUUUGCUUUUGUUCUAACCUGAUUCUUUAAUGGAUUGGAUGAGGUUAUCUGCUUUACUCAGUCUACUGAUUCAAAUGCUAAUCUCACCCAGAAACACUUCACAGACACACCCAGAAUAACAUUUAACCAAAUAUCUGGGCACCCUGCAGCCCAGUCAAUUUGACAUACAAAAUUAACCAUCCGCAAUCAUCCUCAUCCUCAUCCUCAUCCUUGCCAAAGAUCUCUUAAGUACCAGAUCAAGGGUUGGCCUUGGUGAGAAUUUGUUUUAAUUGCAGUUGCCACAGGAAGACUUCAAGCAAGAGGAUGAUGUAAGCAGGUUCACAGUGAAGAAAGACCCCUCUGGCAGCUGUAGAGGUGGGGAGGCCUGUGAAGAGGUGAUUGCAGCAGGAUAGAUAAGAGAUAAUGGGCUUAGGCUAGGGGCUCUGGAGGUAAAUUGGAUAAAUCAUGUGGAGGAGAUUUGAGGAGCAGAUUUGCAAGGGUGGUCAGUAGUAAAAUCAAGUGUUACCUGCUGAAUGUUAUCUUGGAUUUCCAUACAAGAUGCCCUAGUGAAGACUGGAACUGGCAGUUGGAUAUAUGAAUCUGAAGCUCAGAGAAGAGAUUUGCCUGGGGACAGACAUAUUGGAGACACCAGCAUACAAAUAGUACUCAGGACCAUGGGAUGAUAUGAGAUGUUGUAGUCAGCUCUCAGUAGGUUGUGCUGCAGUAACAAACAAUCCCCCAAUACUCACAAAUCCCAGUGGUAUAUAAGCAAUAUGUGUUUACGUUCCUCUCACUUUACUUAUUAUAUGGAGGGCGAAGCCGAGUCCCUGCUCUGUAUGUCUUUUUUAUUUUGACAGCCAAAUAGAGGGACCUGCCUCUCUGACUAGGCCAUGUGGUUGUAAGGCACAGGAAAAAGCAAAGACAGAACAUGUGCUAUUCCUGGAAGGUCUUGUUCAGAUGUGGCCCAUGUCACUUGUGUGCACACUCCAUUCACUGAAGCCUAAGGUCCUCGGACCGAGCCUGAUGUCAAUGGAGUGGGGGACUACAACUCCUCCAGCAGGGUAUGGUGGGGGGACUCAGGUCACAUGGAACAGUCCAGGAGGGCAGCAAAGAGCUGGCCUCAUGGGAACAAAGGACUGAACACCAUGCACAUGCUCCUUCCUCACAGGCUUGUCUGCAUCCCCCAACGCCAACAGUCACUGGGUGUGCCCUCCCCCUAUGGGCCCACCAUGCUCUCAGCGCGUCUCCCUGCGUGAAUGGCAUGUGCUGGCCUGGCUGUCCCCUCCCUGCAGGCUCCAGAUCCCUUGGAAGGGGGGUCUCAGGCUGCUUCUGGCCAUCCUCUCCUGGGCCUUGAGGUCCUCUCCUGCCCGGGUCUGGAGCAUCCUCACUCCAUCUCCAGGCCUCGCCUCCCACCAGAGCUUCUAGUUUAGGGGAAAGGACGGGAGGGAAGAGCAGCCACCCUUGAUGGAGGACCUAAGGGAGAUCAUCUGUCCCCAAUUCCCAAAGAGUAAGCAGGCAGAGAUGGUCUGUCACCAGAACAACAGAGAGGUGACAAUGACGUGCGUCGAUGUGACUGAGGGCCUGUGCCUGUUGGCAAGGGGGUGGGGGGUUUUCCAAGGGAGGGAAGCACGGUGUCGGGGA